CGUGAGUGGCGGACGGGUGAGUAACGCGUGGGUAACCUGCCUCAUACAGGGGGAUAACAGUUAGAAAUGACUGCUAAUACCGCAUAAGACCACAGCACCGCAUGGUGCAGGGGUAAAAACUCCGGUGGUAUGAGAUGGACCCGCGUCUGAUUAGGUAGUUGGUGGGGUAACGGCCUACCAAGCCGACGAUCAGUAGCCGACCUGAGAGGGUAACCGGCCACAUUGGGACUGAGACACGGCCCAA
rnacentral:rRNA from 1 species